GAUGAAGAACGCAGCGAAUUGCGAUAAGUAAUGUGAAUUGCAGAUUUUCAGUGAAUCAUCGAAUCUUUGAACGCACAUUGCGCCCCCUGGUAUUCCGGGGGGCAUGCCUGUCCGAGCGUCAUUGCUGCCCUCAAGCACGGCUUGUGUGUUGGGCCCCGCCCCCCGGCUCCCGGGGGGCGGGCCCGAAAGGCAGCGGCGGCACCGCGUCCGGUCCUCGAGCGUAUGGGGCUUCGUCACCCGCUCCGUAGGCCCGGCCGGCGCCCGCCGGCGACCCCCCUCAAUCUUUUCAGGUUGACCUCGGAUCAGGUAGGGAUACCCGCUGAACUUAAGCAUAUCAAUAAGCGGAGGA
rnacentral:misc_RNA from 1 species